GGAAAUAUGUUCAACAAAAGAAUUACUUUGAUAGACUAAACAAUGGAGGUUAAAAUCCUCUUAUUUCUA
rfam:Homo sapiens chromosome 8, GRCh38 reference primary assembly.